rnacentral:sRNA from 1 species
GCUGGGUGUGGUGGCACAUGCCUGUACUCCCAGUGACCUGGGAGGCCGAGGCAGGAGGAUGGCAAGUUCCAGGCCCAACUUGGAAACCUAGUGAGACCCUGUCUCAA